rfam:Triticum aestivum genome assembly, contig: Triticum_aestivum_CS42_TGACv1_scaffold_543197_6DS
UGGCAAUGUUGAUAAAUUUAAGGCUAGUUUCUCAAAACAUUUGUAGUUGUCGUCUAAGAGCUUUCGCCUUGCCAGGCUUGAGAGCUGAUGUUGCUAAUUCCUUCCUUGGAUAUCUGAGCCU